CCUACGGGAGGCUGCAGUGAGGAAUAUUGGUCAAUGGCCGGAAGGCUGAACCAGCCAAGCCGCGUGAAGGACGAAGGUGCCAAGCAUUGUAAACUUCUUUUGUCAAGGGACAAAAUCAGGCUCGAGAGCCUGACCGAGGGUACUUGAAGAAAAAGCAUCGGCUAACUCCGUGCCAGCAGCCGCGGUAAUACGGAGGAUGCGAGCGUUAUCCGGAUUUAUUGGGUUUAAAGGGUGCGUAGGCGGGCUGUUAAGUCAGCGGUAAAAGCCCGGGGCUCAACCGCGGAACCGCUUUGGAAACUGCGAGGCUGGAGUGCUGGAGAGGUAAGCGGAAUUCCUGGUGUAGCGGUGAAAUGCGUAGAUAUCAGGAGGAACACCGGUGGCGAAGGCGGCUUACUGGACAGUGACUGACGUUGAGGCUCGAAAGCGUGGGGAGCGAACAGGAUUAGAUACCCUUGUAGUC
rnacentral:rRNA from 1 species